GAGUUUGAUCUUGGCUCAGAUUGAACGCUGGCGGCAGGCCUAACACAUGCAAGUCGGGCGGUAGAGAGAAGCUUGCUUCUCUUGAGAGCGGCGGACGGGUGAGUAAUGCCUAGGAAUCUGCCUGGUAGUGGGGGAUAACGCUCGGAAACGGACGCUAAUACCGCAUACGUCCUACGGGAGAAAGCAGGGGACCUUCGGGCCUUGCGCUAUCAGAUGAGCCUAGGUCGGAUUAGCUAGUUGGUGAGGUAAUGGCUCACCAAGGCGACGAUCCGUAACUGGUCUGAGAGGAUGAUCAGUCACACUGGAACUGAGACACGGUCCAGACUCCUACGGGAGGCAGCAGUGGGGAAUAUUGGACAAUGGGCGAAAGCCUGAUCCAGCCAUGCCGCGUGUGUGAAGAAGGUCUUCGGAUUGUAAAGCACUUUAAGUUGGGAGGAAGGGCAGUAAAUUAAUACUUUGCUGUUUUUGACGUUACCGACAGAAUAAGCACCGGCUAACUCUGUGCCAGCCGCCGACGG
rnacentral:rRNA from 1 species